CUUCACCGUCCCCUGCCAGGCGACUUUGUGAACAUGGACAAGGGCGAAGGAAGCAGCGCGGCCGGCGAGAGCUCCACUGCGGGUACCGCU
rnacentral:SRP_RNA from 15 species